GGAGAUGUGGGUUCAAAUCCCCUGUCUGCGGUGGAUGUGAAUGAGGAAGCCCUUUUUCUCCCAUUUAGCAGAAAAAGAAAAAAAAAAUUCUUCUUUGGUUUCACCUCCUUUCUCAAGCCCGCCUCUCCCAUCUCCAGCUUUCCUAGGCCUGCCUCUCUCAUCUCCACCUCUUCAUCUCUUCAUCCUCUUACCACCCCAGUGUGUACAUCUACAGCAAGUGAACCAGGCUGAACCAGCGGUGCUUAAAAUAAGAGAACGUGAAGCAGGAGUGACACUGUUUAAAUAGAUCAGGCUCUCCAGGACAAGGCAGAAAGAAAAACAUGCCUCUUUUGUCAAAGCCAGACAAAGCCCCACAGACCUUAAAGUGGGCAAUUCAAAAUUCUGAAGGGUAAGUUUUCACAAGAAAAAAAAAAAAAUGGAGGGGAAAAAGUUAUCUAAGCCAUUACGUUCCUUCACAAUAGCUCUGGUUGAAGUUGUGCCUCUUCUGAUCUUCUCUCAGCUGGACUUCUGCUUUCCAGCCUGUCUUCUCUGAUCUCCAGUCAUCCGAGAGGCUUCUGCCAGCCUGCGAGCUGUCAAAGUAGCCCUGGAAUCAAACGCCACUUCAUGCUCAGCUAUGAUCAAAGGAACACAGGUAAGGCAGCCACAGAGACAUACAAUUGGCAUCUAAAAAAGUAAGCCGUCUACCCUCACACCCCUCCUUCCCUCCUGCUUUUUUAUCUCCUGACUACACUGACACCAAGAGAAGAAACAUGGAGCACAUUGAUCAGAAUAAAGC
rnacentral:lncRNA from 12 species